GGGUGCGUAAUACGUGAGAAUCUGCCCUUAGGAGAAGAAUAACUGCUGGAAACGGCUGCUAAAUCUUCAUAUGUCGAGAGAUGAAAUAGCUUAGGCUGCCUAAGGAUGAGCUCACGCCUGAUUAGCUAGUUGGUGAGGUAAUGGCUCACCAAGGCCACGAUCAGUAGCUGGUUUGAGAGAACGAACAGCCACACUGGGACUGAGACACGGCCCAGACUCCUCCGGGAGGCAGCAGUGAGGAAUUUUCCGCAAUGGGCGAAAGCCUGACGGAGCAAUACCGCGUGAGGGAUGAAGGAUUUUGGUCUGUAAACCUCUUUCCUCAAGAAAGAAGUUCUGACGGUACUUGAGGAAUAAGCAUCGGCUAACUCCGUGCCAGCAGCCGCGGUAAUACGGGGGAUGCAAGCGUUAUCCGGAAUCAUUGGGCGUAAAGCGCCUGUAGGUUGUUUAAUAGGUCUGUUGUUAAAGACUAGGGCUUAACCCUA
rnacentral:rRNA from 1 species